GAUGAACGCUGGCGGCGUGCUUAACACAUGCAAGUCGAACGAAGCACCUUGAUUUGAUUCUUCGGAUGAAGAUCUUGGUGACUGAGUGGCGGACGGGUGAGUAACGCGUGGGUAACCUGCCUCAUACAGGGGGAUAACAGUUAGAAAUGACUGCUAAUACCGCAUAAGACCACAGCACCGCAUGGUGCAGGGGUAAAAACUCCGGUGGUAUGAGAUGGACCCGCGUCUGAUUAGGUAGUUGGUGGGGUAACGGCCUACCAAGCCGACGAUCAGUAGCCGACCUGAGAGGGUGACCGGCCCCAUUGGGACUGAGACACGGCCCAAACUCCUACGGGAGGCAGCAGUGGGGAAUAUUGCACAAUGGGGGAAACCCUGAUGCAGCGACGCCGCGUGAGCGAUGAAGUAUUUCGGUAUGUAAAGCUCUAUCAGCAGGGAAGAAAAUGACGGUACCUGACUAAGAAGCACCGGCUAAAUACGUG
rnacentral:rRNA from 1 species